UUGGUGCCUUCGGGAACUCUGAGACAGGUGCUGCAUGGCUGUCGUCAGCUCGUGUUGUGAAAUGUUGGGUUAAGUCCCGCAACGAGCGCAACCCUUAUCCUUUGUUGCCAGCGGUCCGGCCGGGAACUCAAAGGAGACUGCCAGUGAUAAACUGGAGGAAGGUGGGGAUGACGUCAAGUCAUCAUGGCCCUUACGAGUAGGGCUACACACGUGCUACAAUGGCGCAUACAAAGAGAAGCGAACUCGCGAGAGCAAGCGGACCUCAUAAAGUGCGUCGUAGUCCGGAUUGGAGUCUGCAACUCGACUCCAUGAAGUCGGAAUCGCUAGUAAUCGUAGAUCAGAAUGCUACGGUGAAUACGUUCCCGGGCCUUGUACACACCGCCCGUCACACCAUGGGAGUGGGUUGCAAAAGAAGUAGGUAGCUUAACCUUCGGGAGGGCGCUUACCACUUUGUGAUUCAUGACUGGGGUGAAGUCGUAACAAGGUAACCGUAGGGGAACCUGCGGUUGGAUCACCUCCUUACCUUAAAGAA
rnacentral:rRNA from 1 species